AUCCUUUCGUAGUUCAUAAGCCUGUUGAUUGGAUUUUCAUGCUCAUGUGUGAGAUGUUCCUCCCUCAGCCUUGUUAAUGUGUUGGCGCGUUACUCAUCUGAUG
ensembl:snoRNA